rnacentral:lncRNA from 1 species
ACUGAUGACCUUUCUAGAAGUCAUAGUCACAGCAACUAAGUUUGAGGGUUUUGAUUUGCGUAUUUGGAUAUAAUUUUGCAGUCUGAGCAGAUGGUCUACAACCUGGCCUCAGAGAUCCUCAUGCAGUAAAUUGUAAGAUGUGCUUUCUUUUCUUUUUUUUCUUUUCUUUUUAACCUCCAAAAGUGGAAGGGAUGAGUCAGCCUAUCUGGGAUUUUAAACAGCCAGUUCCAGGGACACCGUACAACCCAAAGCCAUGCCUCUAGCAAGUCACUAUUAAAAAUAUUCUCUAUUGGGCAAGACCUCCUAAUGUGUCAGCCUUGACUGGUUCCUUUUAAGUAAGAGGAAACAUUAGGAAGCAAAAACAACGGAAUUAUUACGGAAAGCAGUGAUAAGGUUACUUCCUUCAUUUGCCUUUAAAAAAUCUGUUUUUUUUUGUUUUUUUUUUUUUUUUCCUUGAGAGCCUUGGAAGUUUUACAUGAACAAGCAGAUAUAACUCAUUCUACCAAGGACAAAGUGAAGCCGAAUCAACUUUCUCUCUGAAAAAGCUAAUAAUAUGUAAAUGGAUUUGCAAAUAUCAGUGGCUAUACCGUUUACACGCACUUGAGUGAUGCUAUAAGCUUUUUCUGCACAGGCAUAAAGAACAUGAUAUUAUUUCCAUAAUUGCAAAGAUGUAGACACAACAGGACAAAGAUAUUUUGAAAGAAAAAAUGAGAAAUUUUGUAAAUUUUGGUAGGGCCUUUUAAUGCCUUAUAAGUUACAUGUUGAAAAUCGGUUCCCUGAACAUUGUUCUAAUGUUAGUAAUAGAGUGCUAGAAAGUGAUACUUUCCUUUGAGUAUAAACACUUCGUUUAAUUAUUCUUAAGAUGUGAAUUUCAGUACAAGUGAGUAUGUACAAAAAUAUUAGUGAUGAAUGGAUUAAAGUAGCGGAAAGUGCAGGUCACUGUUCAUAGUAGGAGCCCGGCAAUGGUUAGCUGAACUUGACUGAUGUAGAUAAGAGGGAAAACGCGUUAAACCCUCCUGAAAACAGAAGGUCCCCGGAAGGAGUCCUUUUUCCUAACUUGAUUAAGGAUUUAGGGUGAUUAUUUCUCUUCUUUAGAUUUUACAGUGUCUGUUUAAAUUUUCUGCCCUGUUAGAUAUGACUUUGUCAUUAUAAUCUGAAAUAUAUGUAUUUUUAACGUUGGAAAGACAAACUGCUUCCUCAUAUGGGCUUUUAAGGUAGUGCUGCAUGAAAUGCCUGUGCUUUGACUCUGCUGUCACAGCUCCACACACAGCGUCUCCUGAAGUGAAGUGCCAUGUGCAGCAUGUGGGCACAUAUACACCAUUACUCCAGCUUACACCGGAAAUAAAACCCUGAAAACGAGUUACCAGAGUCGCAGCAGGGCAUCUUCCAUCACCAUCACUCACAGGUUUAGUGGGCACGUCUGCAUCUUUUCAGUGUCCGCCCUCUGUCAAUGUCUGCCCUUCCCGUCUGCUCCUCAGAGAGGGACUCACAGGGAGAGGGUGACAACAGAGGCAUGAAUACUAGAAACUGUGGUUCACUGGGGGCCACCCAUGACUUCCUGCUAUAAAGAAACUCCAUUAAAGUUUUAUUAUGUGUUCUCUUGGCUCUCAGGAAGCAUUGCUAGUUACCAUGAGAAUUCUGAUUUUUGCCCCCAGUGGUUGAAGCCAUCGCGUGCAUUUAGGUAAAGGAGUGAAAAGGUCAGGCAGGUCUCUUAGGCAGCCCCGUAAAUGAUAGAUUUCAGAAGAACAAGACUAUUUAAUGAGGCCAAUUCUAAAGUAGUACAAUAACAUUGAGGUACGAAGUGAUUUGAGCCUGAAAUUAUGCUGCUUUUAUUUUUUUCCCUAAAAUUUCCUUUGGUUUCCUUUUAACUCUGGAAGAGGGUGAAGAAGUAAAGAUUAGGGGGAAAGAGAAGAAUGGUAUGAUUCUCUGUGUAGCGACGCCAUUCGCUCAGAUGAGGGAGGCACAGGAAACUUUGUCUUUUAAAGAUGUCUUGACAUUGAGGUUUCUUUGGACAUACAAGGAGAAAUAUGUCCUGGUCAUAUCCUGCCUGGACUUUGAACAGAGAGAGAUCUAGAAUGGUGAUGGAGAUUUAGGAAUCAUUUGCGUACUGAUGGUUUUUAAAGCCUUCGGAGAGAGGGAGCUCACCCGAGGAAGGCACAGAAGGGUGCUAUAGAGAAGGGAGGAGUAGCAGAAUGCACUGGGGGCAUUCGCAGACUCGGCGUUCGUUAUGCUGCCCUGCCUCUUAAUGGAGAAGGAAGCACACGUGCUUUGAAAAAGCUCCCAGGGCCUGCUUUUGUAUGCCUUCUUCUCCUGAGAGGGAUGUGGGCAUUGCUACUGUUUCAAAAGUUCUCCAGGAGCUUCUGAGGUGCACCCAGGAUUAAGAACCGCUCAAGGAAAGUGAAAACAGAAGAAUGAGCAUUCCAUUUAGGGGAAGCUAUAGUCAAAGGAAAGAGGCCAGACCUGAUAAUGUUAUCUGCAGAUGACAGGAACAAAUAUACAGUAUUAGCAACGGUCACAAAGUUUUUCCAGACAUGUUUUUAAUUUUUUUUUUUAAGUUUUACUGAAGUACGGUUGAUUUAUAAGGUCGUGAUCAUUCUGCCACAUAACGAAGUGAUUCAGUUGGGCAGGCACACAUACCCACUCUCUUUCCGAGUCUCUUUCCACAUAGAUUAUCACAGACUACAGGGUAGAGUUCUUUGUGCUACACAGUGGGUCCCUGACAGCCAGUCACUCUAUAUACCUCAGUUGCGUAUGCUAAUCCCAAAUGUGCCACAGAUUUAAGGAUAACUUUAUGUAUGUAAUUUCUGUGAAGGACUCACAGCCAUGCAUGGGGUUCUUCCACUGCUAGUAUACCCUCUGUCAUGUAGGAAUUCAAUAGCCACAUUUUUUUCUAGAAAUACACGUGUUUCUAGUACUUCACAUUGAUUUGGUGACUGAAUCUGACCAUAUUUCAGAAACUUUCAAACAUGCUCUCCUGUGUUUCUAUAGCUCUCUUUUUCCCUAGCUUGCUCUUCUCUCUUUUCUUUCCUUGACGUUGCACCUCAUCCUUCUAAAUUUUGGCAUCCUUUAGAAAAGUUCCUGUCUCCAGCUUAUUCUUCCUCCCUGGGUUCCUGGGUGUUUACUUUAGCUUUAGCUGUUUAUGUUUGUUCUCAAGUGCAUCUUUCAAGAUGUGCAGUCUAGUCCAUGUCCAAUUAGAUCCUGAUGGCAAAUCAAAUUUAAGUGUGAACUGUGGAAUUUUCCUUGGCCUUUUAAAACCUCUCCUAACAGCCAUCUCUCUCAUCAUCUCUUUUUACCUUUUACCUUUUUAACUGAUCAGUUAGGAGAAUGAAAAUGCCAAGCCUUACUGCGUCCUCCGAAGCCUCUCUGCACUUCAGUUGCUCUGUGAAAUGGAGACAUAGCAGUAUCUUCCUCUGGGGGCAAUUAAGAGGCUUAUAGAAGGCAGUAGACAUAAAUUACCACGCUUUGGCAUUGACCAGUUAGUGAGCACUCAGUAAAUAUUAGUUGUCAUUACUUCCUAAUGACACCUCCUUUUCCCCCCAAAGUUUACAAGCUUUUCUAAAUGAAUUAACCAAAAUAUAAUUAAUGGGAGCAAUACCCACAAGUACACAGUGGCACAUACACACUAGCACAUAGGCACACACAUAGGUAUCCUGAUUUGGGUGGUGGUUACACAGGCACAUACAUGUUCCCAAGCUUAUCGAGCUCCGUACCUACGAUGUAGGCGUUUUCUAGAUGUGAGCCACACCUCAGUCUGCUACUUGUGGAAAAAAAUGUAAUGAGGAGCAGAGUAGUAGAGCAGUUAAAAGUGUGGGUUCUGGAACUAGAUUUAGGUUUACAUCCUGGCUCUAGUACCAACUAGCUGUGUGAUUGGAGGCACGAGAAGGCCUGUGCUUUUGUUUCCUCAUUAGUUGGAUCUGGAUAAAAGUACCUAUCUCAUAGGGUUGCUAUGAUGACUGCAGGAAGUAAUCUAAAAUAGUGCUUGGCGUAUCCUAAAUAGCAUAUAAAUAUUGUUUUUAAAUAUAGUUUCCUAAAAUAACAGCAUUGCGUGUAUCUAUGAUCUAUAUCCUUUUCUUUGAAUUGCCCCUAUCUUUACUUGGGUAGUGUCUUUUUUUUAAUGCAGCGAAUAAGCCUUUAUACGUUUUGCUACCUCUUUGUAAAUCCAACGUUUAGCAUGGCACUACAUUUACCAAGAGCAAGAUCAACAUUCAUUGACUAACUAAAUGUUGACCAAGAAGGUCAUGUCGGAUCAAAAUAUGACAAUUUUUAUUGGAAAAACUGAUUAAAUUGAGGAUUUCUAACGAGUAGUGACAUUGUAUAUGACUGAUUUUAACCAAAUUUCCCCAAAGCAUAAUUAUUCCUUUAGCAGCAAAUUUAAAAAUGGUAUGAAAAUAAGUUUGUGAGAAGUAAACAGAUUUUAUUUUAACCUCAACUAUUCUACUCAACCUU